UCCGGCUUAACGCCGGCAGUCCCCCCAGAGUCCCCGGCCGAACCGCUGGCAACUGGGAGCGAGGGUUGCGCUCGUUGCGGGACUUAACCCAACAUCUCACAGCACGAGCUGACGACAGCCAUGCAGCACCUGUGUUCCGAUUCCCGAAGGCACCCUCGCAUCUCUGCAAGGUUCCGGACAUGUCAAGGCCGGGUAAGGUUCUGCGCGUUGCAUCGAAUUAAACCACAUACUCCACCGCUUGUGCGGGCCCCCGUCAAUUCCUUUGAGUUUUAGCCUUGCGGCCGUACUCCCCAGGCGGGAUGCUUAAAGCGUUAGCUGCGGCACGGAGGGGGUCGACACCCCCCACACCUAGCAUCCACCGUUUAGGGCGUGGACUAC
rnacentral:misc_RNA from 1 species